CAGGUGGGAGGGCUGUGCUAUUCCAGUGCCUUCUGUCCUUGGCUUUGCAGUGGACCAUGUUAGGGAUCUUUGGCAACAGGGAGUGGCAAGAGCAGCCUAUUGUUGGCCAUCCUGGGGGAGAUUCAACCUAGACCCCUUUGACUUCUACACAGACCAGCAGAUGUGGGAUGCCUUGGAGAGGACAUUCCUGACCAAGUUGGUAAGUCACUCUGAAGCCAAAUUCUUGGUCUUUGCUUGUGUCUUCCACAGGGGAGCCGACCCUUUGGG
rnacentral:lncRNA from 1 species